rnacentral:rRNA from 1 species
GAUGAACGCUGGCGGCGUGCCUAAUACAUGCAAGUCGAGCGAACAGACGAGGAGCUUGCUCCUCUGACGUUAGCGGCGGACGGGUGAGUAACACGUGGAUAACCUACCUAUAAGACUGGGAUAACUUCGGGAAACCGGAGCUAAUACCGGAUAAUAUAUUGAACCGCAUGGUUCAAUAGUGAAAGACGGUUUUGCUGUCACUUAUAGAUGGAUCCGCGCCGCAUUAGCUAGUUGGUAAGGUAACGGCUUACCAAGGCAACGAUGGGUAGCCGACCUGAGAGGGUGAUCGGCCACACUGGAACUGAGACACGGUCCAGACUCCUACGGGAGGCAGCAGUAGGGAAUCUGCCGCAAUGGGCGAAAGCUUGACGGAGCAACGCCGCGUGAGUGAUGAAGGUCUUCGGAGCGUAAAACUCUGUUAUUAGGGAAGAACAAAUGUGUAAGUAACUAUGCACGUCUUGACGGUACCUAAUCAGAAAGCCACGGCUAACUACAUG